GACGAACGCUGGCGGCGUGCUUAACACAUGCAAGUCGAACGGAAAGGCCCUGCUUUUGUGGGGUGCUCGAGUGGCGAACGGGUGAGUAACACGUGAGUAACCUGCCCUUGACUUUGGGAUAACUUCAGGAAACUGGGGCUAAUACCGGAUAGGAGCUCCUGCUGCAUGGUGGGGGUUGGAAAGUUUCGGCGGUUGGGGAUGGACUCGCGGCUUAUCAGCUUGUUGGUGGGGUAGUGGCUUACCAAGGCUUCGACGGGUAGCCGGCCUGAGAGGGUGACCGGCCACAUUGGGGCUGAGAUACGGCCCAGACUCCUACGGGAGGCAGCAGUGGGGAAUAUUGCACAAUGGGCGGAAGCCUGAUGCAGCAACGCCGCGUGCGGGAUGACGGCCUUCGGGUUGUAAACCGCUUUCGCCUGUGACGAAGCGUGAGUGACGGUAAUGGGUAAAGAAGCACCGGCUAACUACGUG
rnacentral:rRNA from 1 species